UCUAAAAAUCAAAAAGUAAUACCUCUGGAGAAACUUUUAUUCUUUGACGGCCUUUUUUCUAGUCAGAGGAACUUGUUGAUUUAUCGAAACCACCCGAUUAUUUUCCCUUCUUUUAAAGUUUUUAUACCGUCGUCUUAAGUUUGCACUCCCUAGUAGCACACAAAAAAACUAAUAUUUCUUAACAAGACAGAUCAAGGUGAAGCCAUUUAAAGGAGCCAUUAAUGAGUUAUUUAUAAAAAUUAUUUAAGGAUUUUUGUUAAAAACCUCCAAUAAAUCAAGAUUUGAUAAUACCCCUAAGUCAAAACCUUAGGGGGAAUAAGUAAAAAAAGGUGU
rnacentral:rRNA from 1 species